GAUGAACGCUGGCGGCGUGCCUAAUACAUGCAAGUCGAGCGAACGGACGAGAAGCUUGCUUUUCUGAUGUUAGCGGCGGACGGGUGAGUAACACGUGGAUAACCUACCUAUAAGACUGGGAUAACUUCGGGAAACCGGAGCUAAUACCGGAUAAUAUUUUGAACCGCAUGGUUCAAAAGUGAAAGACGGUCUUGCUGUCACUUAUAGAUGGAUCCGCGCUGCAUUAGCUAGUUGGUAAGGUAACGGCUUACCAAGGCAACGAUGCAUAGCCGACCUGAGAGGGUGAUCGGCCACACUGGAACUGAGACACGGUCCAGACUCCUACGGGAAGCAGCAGUAGGGAAUCUUCCGCAAUGGGCGAAAGCCUGACGGAGCAACGCGGCGUGAGUGAUGAAGGUCUUCGGAUCGUAAAACGCUGUUAGUAGGGAAGAACAUAUGUGUAAGUAACUGUGCACAUCUUGACGGUACCUAAUCAGAAAGCCACGGCUAACUACGUG
rnacentral:rRNA from 1 species